AUGGUCUUCAAUCCCUUAGGAGCUCUUAGGGAAUGUGCCAUUUUGGGGAUUCCUACUAUUUCUUUAGUCGAUACAAAUUGUGACCCGGAUCUCGUGAAUAUAUCGACUCCAGCCAACGAUGACACUAUUACUUCAAUUCGAUUGAUUCUUAACAAAUUAGUAUUUUCAGUCUGUGAGGGCCGUUCUCUCUAUAUAAGAAAUCGUUGA
rnacentral:rRNA from 1 species